rnacentral:rRNA from 1 species
UACGUAGGGUGCAAGCGUUAAUCGGAAUUACUGGGCGUAAAGCGUGCGCAGGCGGUGAUGUAAGACAGGUGUGAAAUCCCCGGGCUUAACCUGGGAACUGCAUUUGUGACUGCAUCGCUGGAGUGCGGCAGAGGGGGAUGGAAUUCCGCGUGUAGCAGUGAAAUGCGUAGAGAUGCGGAGGAACACCGAUGGCGAAGGCAGCCCCCUGGGCUAACACUGACGCUCAGGCACGAAAGCGUGGGGAGCAAACAGG